rnacentral:tRNA from 1 species
CCUAAGACUUGUACUACUUAAAGCACAUCUUCUGAAUGCAACUCACACACUUUAAUUAA